rnacentral:rRNA from 1 species
UACGUAGGGGGCAAGCGUUGUCCGGAAUUAUUGGGCGUAAAGAGCGCGUAGGCGGUCCGGUAAGUCGGCUGUGAAAGUCAAGGGCUCAACCCUUGAAAGCCGGCCGAUACUGUCGGACUAGAGUCCGGAAGAGGCGAGUGGAAUUCCCGGUGUAGCGGUGAAAUGCGCAGAUAUCAGGAGGAACACCGAUGGCGAAGGCAGGUCUCUGGGCAUUAACUGACGCUGAGGAGCUAAAGCAUGGGGAGCGAACAGG